GUCCGCUUCAAGGACAAUCGAUAAAAUAUGAAUGAUGCAGAGAAGAUUAGCAUGAUCUCUGUGCAAGGAUAACAUGCACCAAUGCGAAAAUGGUCCAAACUUUU